rnacentral:rRNA from 1 species
UUAAGUCAGGCAACGAGCGAGACCCGUGCCCACUGUUACCAGCAUGUCCUCCGGGAUGAUGGGUACUCUGUGGGGACCGCCGGUGUUAAAUCGGAGGAAGGUGCGGGCCACGGUAGGUCAGUAUGCCCCGAAUUUCCCGGGCUACACGCGGGCUACAAUGAAUGGGACAAUGGGUCCCUCCCCUGAAAAGGGCUGGUAAUCUCACAAACCCAUCCGUAGUUCGGAUCGAGGGCUGUAACUCGCCCUCGUGAAGCUGGAAUCCGUAGUAAUCGCGUUUCAAUAUAGCGCGGUGAAUACGUCCCUGCUCCUUGCACA